rnacentral:rRNA from 1 species
UACGGAGGGGGCUAGCGUUGUUCGGAAUUACUGGGCGUAAAGGGCGCGUAGGCGGCGCGAUAAGUUGGGCGUGAAAGGCCCGGGCUCAACCCGGGGACUGCGCUUGAUACUGUCGCGCUGUGAGUCCGGGAGAGGAUGGCGGAAUUCCCAGUGUAGAGGUGAAAUUCGUAGAGAUCGGGAGGAACACCAGUGGCGAAGGCGACUACCUGGACCAGCACUGACACUGAGGCACGAAAGCGUGGGGAGCAAACAGG